rnacentral:lncRNA from 1 species
UGAUGCUCUCUGCUAAGUCACAUUAUGGAGUCAGACAACUUCCUUUGGAUUGUGAUAUAACAGUUGACCUGGAAAAUGGGAGAUUUAAAACAGUCAUCUCAACAGACACAGAUGGACUCACACUAAGAGAUGAGUUUCAUGGAGGUAACCAGAGGGGUCAUAUAUAAACCAGACACACAGACCAGGAAGUGCUGGCAUAUAUGGUGACUCCGGUAAACAAGAAUCUUGUGGCGUGGGAACACACACAGACUCUGAGGGCAGAAAAUGGUGGAGGGGACAGAAGAAAGGUCAGAAGCACUCAAACUAUUCCAAGACCCUCUGGAGUGGAAGUCUCAAAACAUUUUGGGUUGCUUGCUUCUUGGUAAAAAGAAUCCAGUGUGUGUACUCACAACAUAUGUGCAUUUAUUUAUUUAUAAG